UAUUUCAAUUUAGCAUGAAUU
rnacentral:piRNA from 1 species